ACCUAAAACUUUGACUCAAGUUUAUAAACGUAGGAUUAGAUGGAUUUGUUUUUUCUUAAAACCAGGUUCACAUGGUUUUGGAAUGGUCGCUUCUACCUUAAUUAUGAUUCCUCAAGCAGUUUUCCUGACUUUUAUGACGGCAUUCUCAGUGACAGACAGUAAUUGGAAACAUGAAUCAAAUACUUACUGCAUACAAAGCUCUUUGGGUUGGCCCACAAAGGUCACUUAAAUAUUUGCUGGAUUCCACAGAGUUGACAACCGUUCAGAGAGACAGCAGAAUGCAGUGGGGAGCACGCGGCACCAGGUUCUGGGGUUGGUCCUGAGCCUCACUGGUGGGGGCACCAUGGAGAAAUCAAGAAACAGGUUCUGUGUUUGUAAAAUGGGGAUUGGAAGGCUCAUUCCUAAGGUUCUUUUAAGGCUCAAAGGAGAUAACAGACCUAAAAGCUCUCCAAAGACUGUAUAAGUGGAAGGUAUUAGUAUAAAAGGCCCUCUCUAAAGAAUAUUGAUGGAAACAUCUUUAUGCACACAUGCACUUCAUUAUUGAACUGUUUAUUCAGUUAUUAGCUGCCAUUAGCUUCUGAUUCCAGACUGUUGAUCUAUCAUAUGAGCAUAAUAGAUGUGUUCACAACAAUAACAGACCUGAAUAAGACUGAUGCAUCUGGGGCUCACAUCCCGGAAAUCACUGCCUUAAAAUUCCAUCGAUCAGUGCUGGGUGUUGUAGAAUCUCAGGGUUGUCGAUGCCCUCAACCUUGAGGUGAGCGUGCUCUUUGUAAGUUCCUUCACAGGGGUCGAUUGAAAUUCUGCUUGAACAUCUCCAGUGAUGAAGGGGGUAAUUGAGGUGAGGAGGAGGAGACGUAUGAUAUUGAACAGUCUGUUUUGCCCAGAGUCAGUGAGAGGUGCUUGAUGGCCCCGGCUCAUUUAAUUUUUAUCACCCUGCCUACAAGUUGAUUUUUAUUAUCCCCAUUUUAAAGAUGAGGAAACCGAGUCUAAAGCGGUAAAUUAAAUGAAGAAAUGGGAGUCACUAAAUGAUAGAGUUGGGAUAAAAUUAAAGAUCUUACUUUGUCCAUAUGCCAUAUAUAGCAUUUCCUGAGAAACUUAUCUCCAUUGACAGAUUUUCCCCCCCAUUUCGACAGCUCUGAUUGUUAGCAAAAUACAAAGCUACUCCUUUCAGCUCAGAGCCGUCUACUCAAAGUGUGGUCCAUGGACCUGCAUCACGGCCUCUCCGGUAGCUAGUUUGAAAUGUAGAAACUCGGCCCCGCCCCAGGCUACUGGAUCAGAAUCCGCAUUCAGCAAGGUCCUCAGGGAUCCAAACGC
ensembl:lncRNA